AGUGAACGCUGGCGGUAGGCCUAACACAUGCAAGUCGAACGGCAGCACAGUAAGAGCUUGCUCUUACGGGUGGCGAGUGGCGGACGGGUGAGGAAUACAUCGGAAUCUACUUUUUCGUGGGGGAUAACGUAGGGAAACUUACGCUAAUACCGCAUACGACCUACGGGUGAAAGCAGGGGAUCUUCGGACCUUGCGCGAUUGAAUGAGCCGAUGUCGGAUUAGCUAGUUGGCGGGGUAAAGGCCCACCAAGGCGACGAUCCGUAGCUGGUCUGAGAGGAUGAUCAGCCACACUGGAACUGAGACACGGUCCAGGCUCCUACGGGAGGCAGCAGUGGGGAAUAUUGGACAAUGGGCGCAAGCCUGAUCCAGCCAUACCGCGUGGGUGAAGGAGGCCUUCGGGUUGUAAAGCCCUUUUGUUGGGAAAGAAAAGCAGCAGGUUAAUACCCCGCUGUUCUGACGGUACCCAAAGAAUAAGCACCGGCUAACUUCGUG
rnacentral:rRNA from 1 species